rnacentral:tRNA from 1 species
GUAUAUAUAGCUCAGUAGCAGAGCACGUGCAUAGCACACACAGGGUCCUGGGUUCAAUCCCCAGUACCUCCA